UCCUUGGUGGUCCAGUAGUUAGGACUCUGCACUUUCACUGCCGAGAGUGUGGAUUCAAUCCCUCACUGGGGAA
rnacentral:tRNA from 1 species